ensembl:lncRNA
GCAGAAGUUCAGUGGCAAACUCUGACCACCUGGAUAAGGUAAAAAACUUAUUACUAGAGAAGUAGGUUUUAGCAAACAGCUAGAUUUUGAGACAUCCUGUACCUGAAAUCUUGAGCCCUGAAACAAGAAUGAAAAACAUUCAUUAGAAUUUCAAAGGUUCUCAGGAAGAAGUGCCAGAGUGAAGGAACUGGACAACAGAUGAAUGGACUUCUGGCAACUUUCAGAUCACGCUAGGACAGACUAUUCCUACUGUUACUGCACAGUAUGAAUAACAAAGAUAUUCCUAAAACAUUAUUUCAUUUUCUUACAAUCAAGAAUAUUUUGCAACCAAAGUUAAUAAAACUUUAAGUAGGUUGCCUUUGUUUGCAAAUUAAUUACACAUUAGAAUAAACUGCCCUGCAAAACAAUGUGAAAUAAGGAAAUACACUUGCUUCUUUCACAUGAUGCAAAAUCAAUUGACACAUACUUUUGCCCCAGAAACAAUGGUACAGACAGACAAAGAAAAGACAAUCAUUAACAAAUAAUUUUCCUCACAAUAAAUUAUCAAGUUGCAAAGUGCUUGGUAUUAGGGUGUCAUUCAGUAAGCUAGGCAAUUAGUAACCUUUUUUGGUUAAUACUAGGGAAGCAGUACGGAAACUAGCUAUCAAAGCGUGGGGUGGAAAUCCAAGAAUGUGGGUGCACAGGAUUUUGUGAAUGAAAGUGUAAAAAGAUGUGAUGAGCAUUCUCUCUGUUUAACCCUGCAAAGUCAGCCCAGCCGGUCAGACAGACUGCUUGCCCAAGAACGGUAAUGACAGACUGCCUGGGUUCGUGUCUGCACACUCACAGCCUCGCGGGCUCCAGUGACAAAGAACACCUUUAGAGAAGACCACUGGCCAGUCCUGUAGCAAUAACAGCUUUGGAAUUUACAAACAAAGAUGUUUUGCAUAACUGUCUACCAGUUAUCAAGCCAGGCCAUGAAUUUCAGAGCGAAGACAGCAAUCAAUCAUUACUUCUAAACUGAGAAGUGAGUGCUCCUGUCAGUGAUGUUUAACAGAACUGACAGAAGAUCUGUUGAACAGCCUGAAUGCUAAACAACCUGAAUUAUUUAGAGAUGCUCUGAGCAGGGGUUUUGACAAGAUGACCUUUGUACAUCCCUCCCAAUCUAAAUUAGUCUGUGAUUCUCUUUUAUUAUCCCAUGCUUUCCUAUGCUACCUGAAAUGCCAGCCAUGGCUCUUAAUAACUGAUGGCAGUUAAAAACUGGUAAGUCAAAAAACAAAAGCGGAAAAUCCAUUAAAAAACAGACUUAUUCUCCAGAGCCAAUGUGAGGGCUGGGACAGGAACCAGGGCCUUUUUCUUGAGCCUUGAAAAAUCACCUGGGGCAAGAUUUUAUUGCAUGCCUAUGCGGCACUGAGGUACUGAACACGUGGAGAUUCUGGGAUGCUACAGCAAUGGCCUCAAGCUCUGAAGUAUGCUAGAUCCUGCCCUGGCUGCUUUCCAAGCAGUCCCUCUUUCCAGGCCCUUGUAACAGAAACUGCUACACCCGUCUGAGCUGCAGCCAGGGAGGCCAGCCCAGAAUACCAGCUACGCCCUUCAACAACAGAAGUCCCCCAGCGCCAGUCAUUAAAAACAAAUUCAUAGCCCAUUGCCCUGUUUGAGGCAAAAAGGUGGCACAGGUGUGCCUGCCCUCUGCAGCUGCUCAGACAGAGCUGCUGCUUGGUGCAGUGAAACAGGACAGCCUGCAUUUUCUUCUGUCAGGCUAACAAGCCACUCUCUACAUCCAGUGCGUGAAUCCUCCUCUCCCUGUUAAGGCACACAGCAUCUCCAGAGAGACAGGAAGUCUUCACACGACUUAGACUAAGCUUAUAAAGAAACAGACCACUUUAAAAUACAAAAAAAUCUUUUACAGGCACAGCUCUAAUUGAACAAAGGAAGAGCAGCAUUGUUUCACACAUCUGAAGUGCUAGAGGGGCUUACUGGGAGAACUUAGAGCUCUGCGGAUGGCAGCACACACAAAAAAAAGGCUUUUCCUACAUCUCUACAUUCCCAGAAAAUAAGUAACUUGGAUUUGAUCUCAUAUUAUUUGUCAGCAGCUAGGUUGCCUGGUAGAAGCUAAACAGAGUCUGAGAUGCUUUCUGCCACAUAUAUUACCUGUUUCAGUUUACUCUGCAGAAGCAUGUAAGAUCCUACACAAUAUUCUUGUCAGUGGGCACCUGAUUUAUCAUACACUGCAUUAGCCUUCAAGGCUUCAUAGACUAAAGCUGACAUAAUGAAAAUCAUGUUCAAGACCUCCAUGCUGCAGCUGUUUUGACUCUAGCUGUACUUUCAGCCACAGUUCAGGAGAUCAGUCCCUCUGAUAGAAAAAUGGAGUACCAAAUGAGGGUCCCACUUGGUUCACUGCCUCCCUGUGAGACCUUCUGGCUGAGCUCUCUCUCAGGUAACUUGCUUCCUACUUAGGUGGCACAGAAUGGAUUGUUUUCCUUUCCAUGCCCUGCUGUUUCCAUUGAUUAUUCAAAGGCAACAGUGCCAGGCAAGUUUGGGACAACAGCACUGUUAUGGCAUCUAAGGGUCAAGCAUGAGAUGGAGAUGGUGUCAUGCUUCUUUAGGCUGGCUACCAGAGCACUUGGCUGUCACAGCUGAGGGGGACAGUCAGUUCAGCUGAGAGGGUGCCCACCCCUUAGCCAUGGCCAUGUGCCUUUCCCUGAAGCUGCUAAGGCACUUGGAGAGAACAGAAUCACAGAGGAGCUGAGGCAGAAAGGGAACUCUGGAGAUCAUCCAGCCCAAAACCUCUGCUCAAAACAAGCAUAGCUGGAUGAGGGUGCUGAGGAUCAUGUCCAAUUGUGUUUUGAGUACCUCCAAGGAUGGAGACUCCAUAGCUUCUCCUGACAACCUGGUUCAAAGUUCCAGUAUUCUCACAGCAAAUAAGUUUUUUCUUACAUUUUCAUCAUUCUCUAGCAUAGGAGACAUAAUUUCCUAGCAUAGUCUCUCCAUCUGGUCUGUCCACUGGAGAAGGAAUGUUGCUAUCAACAGCCCCCUUUGGUAUGCAGGUCAUCUGCUGGCCUGGAGAACAGUGCCAGACUGUCUGAGUCACAGCUCCAAAGGCUGCACCUGAUCCCAAGAGCCUGGUGAAGGUCAGAGAUGCUCCUUGUUUGCUCAAUUGCUCCUUGUUUGUAUUGAUUUUCAAAGAACAAUCUGUGAUUAAAACAGGCUCUGGAUGCCAGGCUGAUGGCAAGUCCUUCCUCAAGUAAGGGACAGCCAGGUGGCACAGCUGGAAGGUGGAAAGCACAGGCACAGAAGGGACAUACAUCACAUAGAAAGCACAACUCUGGUUUACUACAGGGAGGAAGGAAUUCAUUAGCUAAUCAAGUGAAUUGGAGAUAUGCCAUGUAUUUCUCAGACCUAUGCAUGCUUAUAUAAAAUAAAGAGUUGUAUUUUUUGGAUGACAAGUUCCUCAAAGCUUUUUAUUUUUCUUAAUUGAAACUAUUUUUUUGCACCUGAGAAAAAGCCACAAACAAUGAACAGCAAACAAAUUGUUCUUCAAAGGAAGGGUGAUUUAAGAAAGGGUUUAAUUAGAAAUAAAAUUAAAGUAGAUUAACUGCCAUUUGUUCUUUUUGUUUCUGAAGUUUUCUAACCAGAUGAGUUUUGAAAAGUUUUCUUUGCAGCAGUAAUAGACCAGACACCAGCAAGCUGAAAUACUGACAGCUUUGUUUUAUAGAAGGAUGCUGUUUAGCCAUGCAUACAAAAGAUCAUAAGAAUUAUUUUUAUCUUCAGUUCUUCAUUUCAAACCCUUUGACAGAAACUCCACCCACAUAGCCAAAUACAACCACACCAGCUGAGCAUAUCUUUGGGUCAUGGCACAGUUACCAUGGCCACAGUUAACUCAAUGCUCAUAAAUGCUUUAUGUGUUGCAUACACAACACAGGCUCUGUCAAAAAAUCAGCACAAAGCUGUUUUCUAAGCCAUAAUUUUUUUUUAAAUUAUGUCCUUUAAGAAGUCUGUCUCUAACACUCCCUUUCUUGCACUGGACCCAGUAAAAUGUGACAAAAGGGCUACUCUUCUCUCAAACAAAUGGCCACCUUCCCAUCUAUAACCAACAUGGCAUGUCCUGUAAUACUGCAAUAAGGCUGUUGCUUUAAAACUCUUUUUUUAUCCUCUUAAAUAACCUCAAAUUCCAAGUUCAUCCUGCUGGCUGUUAGCUAUUAUAGACUGGGAUUGAUGAACUCCAGCAUGUAGCUCCCUUCUAGCUCAGAAUACAGUACAAUUUGUACCGAGUUUCCCAUUAUGACAGGAAAUGGACAAGAAGAUAUCUAUCAGUACCUUCAAUCUACAAGAAUCAUCAGGGAGAUGUCAAUAUGGGAGACCAAAGCAUACCACUGAAAAUCUUGCUAUCACUAUCCUGUCAAGCUCUCAAAAUUACUGCUGCUCUGCUAUCUUGUUUGCAAAAAGGCUGACAAGCUCAGAAAACUGACCCACAAUGCCAAAAAUACCUGACCAUGUGCCUUCCCAGUCUACUCUUCCCCAGGACAAAGCUCUGGUUUUGUUGCUGCAGAUAAGCAGAAAAAACCUGCUCAGCCCCUGCUCUCACAGCCACAGCUUGCUGCAUUUAACACACUUAGAGGGGAGAGAGGGACACCAAGCUUUUGAUGGGAGAAGCCUGAAACUCAGGUCGUGCUACAGAUGCCUGUGCUUAAAGGCUUCACCUUUAAGCAGCUGCAGCCUCCCCAGAUUUUGCAAGCUGUGUAGCAUCUGUGCGUCUUCACGACAGCAAGAACACAGUGCCCUGUCGUCCAGCUCCUCUCUAGUGAGUUGAAGCAGAGCACCACCAGGUGCCUGGGUCGUAAGGCUCUUGUACAAUAUGAUUCACCCUCUAGUGGAUGACACAGGACCUGUUUACCUGCAUAAAUUUGGGUAACCACUGGCCAGGUGGGUAAAUUCUGUCCCAGUCUAGAUGACAUUUUGCUCAUCUAACAGCUUCUAACAAUCAAAAAAGCCAGAUGAUGAAAGCCAGCACAUAAAUCCAACAUAUAGAAUCAGUGUAACGUUCUAAAACAAAGGAGUCUUCAACUUACAGUUGCUUACUGUAAUGCAGGAAAUUAGUAAGUACAUGAAACAGAAGAUAAAUUUAACAAAUUUUAUUAAAUGUACUUAUAAAUUACAUUCCUGUGUGUCAUGCAUGAUUGUAUAAUUAGAUAUAUCCCAUUCUGCCUUGAGUGAAGAUGUUAAUUCCUCUAAAAGCACAGAUGAGAGAAACUGCACCUUGUAGCUUCACAAACUGGUGAAAAUUCAGCUUAAAAAAAUACAGGUCUGCUAGACCACCUAAACCAAAUAAAAAGUUUUGGCUUCAGGUUUCCUUAAUUUCCCUCAUGAAAAGCCAGACAAGGUUGACAUCAGUGUAGUUUUGCCACAGGUAAGGGAUUCAAACCCAUAAUCUCCAGCCACACCAAUACUCCCUUGGAUGAAGUCGUUCUUUCAAAUGCUCUUUUUGAUAGUCACCAUUUGUACUGCUUUGCAUCACCAAGAGGCCUCAAGAGCAUGUGAACUACACUGCUUCCAAAAGAAACUGGAACCAAAAUUUCCAGAUGCUAUGUGGAGAAUUUCCACAAGGUAGUCCAAAAUAAAGCCUUCCAAAACAUACAUCAAAUAGAUGCCAGGUCCUCUUCAUCCCCACUCCUCCUGGCUGCACUUUGCUGGCACUCAGCAAUAAGGGAGAUCAGGUACUGCAUCUCUACAAGUAGACCCUCAGAAAUUGCAGUUCCUUAAGCAAAUGAGUUGAGUUUUUGUUUGCACCACUUUGGAGAAUGAGAUUUACUCCAACCCUUGAGACUGAGCUAAAUGCUGAAGGCUUUCUGGUAUAGCACCUAAAAGAAGCAAACUGGAAAGUUCACAGAUUCAAAAGAAAUUUUUUUGAUAUCUACUUAUCUAUUCUGGGAAAUCAGUGAGAUAGUUGGUAUUUGCAAUCCUAAAAAGUGAAGUGUGCAGGUUACAAUGAAAUCCAGCAGAUGGAGAAUCCAUUAUGUCCUUUGAAAACCCAAGCCUAAAGUGCUUUGAAAACUGAAAAUCCACAGUAUUUUGUAAUGAUAUCUAUGAAGGAAAGUAUAAAAUUUCAUUUACCAUCCUGGCAAGACAAGUGCUACAACCAAGAAAAAAAUUUCAUAUAUAUUUGUCAUAUAUCAGUUUUAAGCUUCCUCUAACAAGCAAUAUAUGUCAAAGACUUGUUCAGCUGAAGAGGCCGAAAUUAAAUUUGUUGGGCUCAGACCUAUGGAACCAGUCCAACAGUGUUUAUUCCCUAUGUAGAAAUUAAACCACCAAGUUUGCUUCUGAAGCUCACAACAUUCCACCAGAAAAGUUCCUGGAGGGGGGAAAAAAAAAAUCAAGUGCCAGGUAUACACAAGUAUAGAACACACAACAGCUGCAGACCUGUGGGCUUCCAACUAUUCCAGUUCCUCCAGUGAGGCUCUAGAAAAACAUCGUUCUCUGGACUGACAAACAGAUCACAGGACAUGUAAUCAGAAUACUUCUGUUAUCACUGCUCUGGAGGGAUCACUGCUCUAUUUGGGCAGCACUGGCAGCAAGCUGCAGAGUCCAGAGGGGAUCCCUGAAAUGCCAUUGACUUUGCCAGCUGACUGGAGCUCAACUUGAGCAACACUCUGAUCCUAAG